rnacentral:rRNA from 1 species
CUGAACGCAUGGCGUGCGUGCCUAAUACAUGCAAGUCGAGCGGACAGAGGGGAGCUUGCUCCCUGAUGUUAGCGGCGGACGGGUGAGUAACACGUGGGUAACCUGCCUGUAAGACUGGGAUAACUCCGGGAAACCGGGGCUAAUACCGGAUGGUUGUCUGAACCGCAUGGUUCAGACAUAAAAGGGGGCUUCGGCUACCAUUUACAGAUGGCCCCGCGGCGCAUUAGCUAGUUGGUGAGGCAACGGAUCA